rnacentral:lncRNA from 1 species
AUGUGGUUUAUUUUUCCCCACACAGGCCUACGAAGUACCAAGAAUCAUGCUAAAUGUUGCCCAAACAUCUUCACAACCUGUGAGGUAGAAACUAUUAAUGUGCCCAUUUUACAGAUGAGGAAAAUGAAACUCACAAAUGUGAAGUCACUUGCCCAAGGAGACAUAGGAGCAGCACAGAUUCAAACCCAGUGGAUGGAAAGAGACACAACCAAACAUUACUAUAAAUUGUAUGGUGGAAGGAGAGAGAGGAAGGCAUGUUUCUAAGAGGGCAAGUCAUGGUUCCCAUCAACAGGUAAGCAGAACACUAGCCCAGUAAAUGCAGUUCGAUUUGAGUUACUGCUAAAGUGCUUGAAGUUGUUUGUUUCUCUCCCCCCCGCCCCCCCCAGGUGUUUUAUUUAUUUACGCAAUGAAUUUAUUACAUAUAUACUUGUACAAUGAUCGUCACAAUCCAGUUUUAUAGGAUUUUCAUCCCACAACCCCAGCGCAUCUCCCCAUCCCCCAAACUGUCUCCUCCAGAGACCAUAAGUUUUUUAAAGUCUGUGAGUCAACAUCUGUUCUGCAAAGAAGUUCAGUCUGUCCUUUUUUUAGAUUCCACAUGUCAGUGAAAGCAUUUGAUGUUGGUGUCUCUUUAUCUGACUGACUUCACUCAGCAUGAUAAUUUCUAGGUCCAUCCAUGUUGCUAAAAAUGCCGUUAUUUCGUUCCUUUUUAAUGCCUGAGUAAUAUUCCAUUGUGUAUAUGCACCACAUCUUCUUGAUCCACUCCUUUGUCGAUGGACAUUUAGGCUAUUUCCAUGUCUUGGCUAUUGCAAAUAGUGCUGCAAUGAACAUUGGAAUACAUGUGUCUUUGCAAGUCAUGGUUUUCUCUGGAUAGAUGCCCAGGAGUGGGAUUGCUGGAUCAAAUGGUAGUUCUAUGUUUAGUUUUCUGAGGAAUCUCCAUACUGUUUUCCACAGUGGUUGCACCAAUUUAUGAUCCCACCAACAGUGUACUAGGGUUCCUUUUUCUCCACACCUUAUCCAGCACUUACUGUUUGUAGACUUUUGGGUGAUGGCCAUUCUGGCUGGUGUAAGGUGGUACCUCAUAGUGAUUUUGAUUUGCAUUUCUCUAAUAAUGAGUGAUGUUGAACGUCUUUUCAUGUUCUCUUUUCUAUCCUGAUGAAAACUGGGUGAUUUCUACCUACUGUCAGACAACUAGUACAUCCAUUCAUGUUCCUUUGCCAGGAUCCCCCACCUCCAUGCCCAGAUGCUAAACUCACAGUCCCUAGAU